rnacentral:rRNA from 1 species
UACGGAGGGGGGCGAGCGUUAUUCGGAAUUAUUGGGCGUAAAGGGCGCGUAGGCGGCUUGACAAGUCAAAGGUGAAAUCCCUCGGCUCAACUGAGGAACUGCCUUUGAAACUGUCAGGCUUGAGGCCGGGAGGGGGUAGCGGAAUUCCCAGUGUAGCGGUGAAAUGCGUAGAUAUUGGGAGGAACACCAGUGGCGAAGGCGGCAUCCUGGACCGGUAUUGACGCUGAGGCGCGAAAGCCAGGGGAGCAAACGGG